rnacentral:rRNA from 1 species
UACGUAGGGUGCGAGCGUUGUCCGGAAUUACUGGGCGUAAAGAGCUCGUAGGUGGUUUGUCACGUUGUCCGUGAAAACUCACAGCUUAACUGUGGGCGUGCGGGCGAUACGGGCAGACUGGAGUACUGUAGGGGAGACUGGAAUUCCUGGUGUAGCGGUGGAAUGCGCAGAUAUCAGGAGGAACACCGGUGGCGAAGGCGGGUCUCUGGGCAGUAACUGACGCUGAGGAGCGAAAGCGUGGGGAGCGAACAGGAUUAGAUACCCUGGUAGUCCACGCCGUAAACGGUGGGUACUAGGUGUGGGUUUCCUUCCUUUAGGGAUCCGUGCCGUAGCUAACGCAUUAAGUACCCCGCCUGGGGAGUACGGCCGCAAGGCUAAA